AAGCCACAAACCUUGAAUGCUAAAGAUUACAGAUGAGAUAUACACCUAAAUACCCACUUAAAGAUAGAAACUGAGAUUUCUCACUUCCUUGCAGAAGAUGAACAACUGAUUCAGCAGCUCAUUUCUGGCUUUAGCAAUUCCAUCCAUUCCUGAGUUUCCUCUUAUAUCUCAGGUCCCUUUUCAGCAGGUCACAGUCCUUAUCUCAGCCUCUUCUGUGCCCUGCUAAUCACCCAUUGCUCUUUUUCUUUAGAUGAGUAAAUUUAUUUUCACUAAUUAAUCUUCAACCUCUGUGAUAAGGAUUCCUCAAUCUUCUGCUGAAGGCUAUAUUAAAGAAACUUCAGUUUGAAGUGGGAAAAUUUAUUAUUAUUAGAAUUAUUCUAUUAGAAUUAUUAUUAUUAGAAUUUAUUCUUUUUCUCUUUAAUUCUCCUCAAUACUACAUUUCUUCACAAAUCUACAUUUACUCCUUCUUGCUGUUCACUUCUCCCAUAGUUAUUGUUUUGGAUGCCUCCCUUCUCCAAUUGUAAUCUAAAUUUUCUUACUACGUGCCAGACUGUUUCCUGUGUUUCUUGAACUAUUAUUCCCAUCUAUAGACCGUCAGUACUUUUAUAGCACUCAGUUAUUAGAAUCUCUUCCUUCUGGUCUCCUUGACAGUAAUUCUGAUUUUUUCCCUUUCUCUGUUGUGACAUACAGGGUCAUUUGCAUGCACAUUUGUACACUAAUAAUUUAGAGCUUCAAAUCAUCUUCCUUGACUAUCCCUUUGAAUACACUGCACUGUAUCUUGCAAUUUUCACUAUUUUCCUUCCCCCAUAAUGAAUUCAAGCUUCUGAUCUUCAGGCAGGACUUGAUCUGGACCAAAAAACUCAGCGACCUGUUAUCACAUACUCCAAAUAAUAUAUUGAUGCAAUUCUACACUAAAAACUUGCAGAACUUUUUGUCUUAUUAUUUCACUGAACAGUUACUUCAGAAGCUGUGGCAGUUACAGUCAGAAAACUGAUAUUUUCACCUGCUUUUAAACGUGGCUCAUGUAGAUCCUUUUACUGUGGUUCUAGCAUUAUAUAUAUUUUUUUCCAGUUCCUUACAGUAGAUACUCUGACUACCAAAAGGAAUCAGUAAAAUAACUGUGGGCAUCUGGGCAAACAACACUAUAAUCACCACAUUGCUCCUCAAAAGACAGAAAGAGAGCACCAUUUGUGCAAUGAAAUUUAACACUGCUUCCCUUGUGUUUGUAUGGAGAAUUUCCCUCUGCACCAUAGCUGGAAUAAUUCCCACAGCCCAAAACUGGCUGAAUCUGGUUUAAUCUGGGUUUCCUGACUUUAGGGAACUUAUACAAGCCAAAAUUUCCCCAUGAAUGAUUCCCUUACACAUUCAUCUCCCCAGCUUUGUGUGAAAACAAGACAUUACCAAUCUCAAAACUGCACUGAGACACACUACCACUGUGGUUACUUUGAACCCUAAAGUAUGCCUCUCUCCUUCCAUGCAUAAUGCAGUGCUUGUGCAUUUUCCCAGUACCUGGCACACUUGUUUAGACUGGGUGCUUAAAUUCAUCUCUUUUGGAGAACAGAUAGCAGUAGAAGUCCACCCAAUGGAGAACUUUAGCUGCAAUGGUUGUGCUCGAUAAAAGGUCAUUUUUCAGUUGAUCCAGAUCCUAUUUCCAGUAGUGGUAACACUGAGAUGGCAGAGCUCAUGCAGCACAGACCACGUGGGAACUUGUUGCAGAUGGUCCACUGAGCAAAUGCUGAUUGCAGCUUAAUUUUGAGCUGUGAAAGUCAGUGACAGGUUGUUCAGGCAAUUAAGCAAAGAAAAACAACAACAACAACAACAAAAACAACAACAACAAAAAAGGCACCAAAAAGGCAAUUUUGUAAAUCAGACCGCUAAAAGCCAUUUGAUUCUAGAAACUUGAGGUUAUAUCAAGCUAACAGGACACCAUAUGUGUGUGUGUCCAUUUAUUAAAGCCUUUGUCUGUGUGUAAAAAUUAAAGAGUAUUUUUGGUAAAGGCCAGAUACAUUUCAAAUAGGAAGUGAAAUGCAAUGUCUUUGUACAUCUGUUCAACCAAAAAAAUAAUGAAAAAUAUUUUUGUAGGCAUUUUUCUCAGGCAUUUGUCUUUAAAAAUAUGACUAAAUCUGACCUGUUUUAAAUGGUGGAAAAAAACAUAUGUUGCUCUUCAAUCAGUGUUAGUUUCCUUUAUUGUCACGCUAACAGCAACCUGAACUUAUGCUGAACUGCUGUCUGGGCCAAUAUUUUCUGCAAGGUAAUUUGUUUCUGACUUGCUUUCCACACAUUUAAUUAAUAUAAAUGGAUUCUGAGUAACAUUGUAUUUCCUUCUUGUUUACAGCUACAUUAUUUUGCAGAUACUUGAUAAAUCACCUCAAUAAUUCUAAGGGCUAAAGAAGAUUCAUAUUUCCUUAAAGUCAAUGAGAAAAAUCUUGCAUUAUACACUAAAUUCUCUCACUGUGUGCGCUAGUGUCUCAUAAGACAUGUUCCCAAGUCUGCUCAGAAAAGAAACAGUUUAAAGCAGAGACUCAAAACAAAUAAACAGAACUAUUGGCUGAAGGGUGGUGUGCCUCUUGCUGACAGUGCCAGAGGUCCCAGAGUCAGGUCACAGCCCACAGGCCAGCUCUGUCUGUCUCACUUUGUACAGCUGCUCUGCAGCCCGUGAGUCAUGCUGUGGAGCUGCAUCCCUCUUCUGCAGACUGCCUAAAUCUCUUGGUGCUAUUUCUGCCACUGUGGAGUGAAGCUGGACCAUGGCCUGUCUUAAAAUCCAAGUUAUUUCAAAGCUGGUAUUAACAGGAAGAAAACUUCUCAUAGGAUGUAGUAACUUAUGGGAAAAAAAAAAAAAAAAAAAGGAAAAAAAAAUCUUUUGCUUACAAAAUCAAUAAUUUAAUCUAUGAAAACAUACAUUAUUUUAAAAAAGCAAUUUCCAUAUUAUCAGAGCAAUGGGAAGAAAAUAAAUUGUACACAGUCAGCUGGUAAUAAUGAAACCUGCUGAAGCUCAGCUGUAUAUAUGAUCCCUUCCAGCUGUUACUUGCAGCUCUAUUUUACAAUGCAAAUGUACUUAAAUUAAACUAUCAAAUACAUUAGAGAGGAAAUCCAUCUUUUUGACCUGUAUAAUUAAAACAAAAACAAAAACAAACAAACAAAAAAACAACAUAUAGGGCUAUAAUUUUAAUGUUCUAUAAAACUUAGUGAAAAACACUAAAAUAUUAACCACAUUUUAUUUCUAGCUUUUUCAAUGAUAACAUUUAAAAAAAUAGCUUUUAAAAUGAAGUUGUAAUUCCUCAUUUUUGUAUAGAUCUGAUAGCUGGGGGAGAAGAAGGGAGUUUGGGGUAUUUUGUGUAUGUGUGUGUGUAUCCUACCUUUCACUAAGUGAGUUCCCACCAUUUUCUCCUUCUCAGCGAAGACAGUCUGACAUUAAGCCCUUCAUCAUAGAUUAAGUGAAUCAAUAUAUUUCCCAAAUACCAGACCAGAGCAAUGGGUAGUAAUGACAGAAGAGCUUUCCCUGAGAUUGAUACCAUCAGAAGAAGCAAAUAAAAGGAAAUGUAAUGCAUAAAUGCCAUUGAAGUAUGCAACUGAUAUAAUGAUAACAUGAACACCACCUGCAUGUCUGACACUGUUGCCUCAUUAAAGUGUUGUCAUGACUGUUUUAGAGAUUGUGUUUCUAAUCCCUAGACUGUGUUCUGCAGGUUGAGUAAUUACAUCUUCUUUAGAAUCAUAGAAACAUUAAGGUUGGAAAAGACCUGCAAGAUCAUCCAGUCCAAUCAUUCACCUACUACCAAUACUGCCCACUAAACUGUGUUCCUUAGUAUCACAACUCCAUGUUUCUUGAACACCUCCAGGGACAGUGACUCCACCACCUUCCUGGGCAGCCUGUGCCAGCACCUGAUCACUCAGAGAAGAAAUUUUUCCUAAUAUCCAACCAGAACUUCCCCUGAUGCAACUUAGGGUCAUUCCCUCUUGUCCUAUCACUAACAGAUCACUACAGAUGGAAUUACUUGCUAGUGCAUUAUUGUAAAGUUGUAAAGAUUGAGAUGCUACAAGUAAUUAAUAUUCAUGCAUUUUCUAAAAAAAUCAAUGAAAGCAGAGAUUGCUUUUACGUUAAAAGGACAGACUUACAUAAAGGCAUUCAAGUGCAAAUAAUUGUGCCACCAUACUUACAAGUAUUUUUUGAUGUUUUAGAAGCAUAUUUACAAUCACAGAAAAAGAAUAAUUUUUUUCUAAUGAGGGGGAAAAAAUUUUGUUCAGUGUUUUCAAUUUCAGAUUUGCUCAGGUAAUUGAGGAUGAUAUGACAUCCAUUCUGCCCCAUACUAUCUUUUACAGUCUCGACACAUAAAUUAAAUACAAUAUGAUCGUCUUCAUCAUUUAUUUGAAAGAUGGGUAAAUCAAAAUAUAAUAUAUUAUACAAAGCCUGUGUUCGAGUGAAAUCCAAAUCCUUGUCUUUUUGAACUUUCUUAACUGGUUUAAUUUUCCAUCUCAGGCAAAGCAUCAUGCAUCUUUCAGUGAUAAAUAUGAUAACCCAGCUCAGAACUGUACUUGUUUAGCCAAGCAAAAACUUAACAGUUUUCCAUCUUUGCAGCCAGGAACUGCCUUUUCCUGAAAGGGUCUAACACCACAGUCUGGUCUGGAACAGCAGACAAUAGCUCAGAUGUUAAUAAAAACCAGUCUGCCAUACCACAUGCUUGCAUACUCAGCACUCCUAUCUUAUGUUCAACUAUGAUUAAGAAAGAUUCUUUGCCCAACUCCUCAAAACUCAUGCAAAUUAUACCUCUUAAAGAGCAAACUGUAAAUUUGGUUUUAGAAGAAUGGCAGCCUAUCUAAUAUGAAUGGAAUAUAACCCAAGUAUGUGAGUCUGAAGCUCUGACUCCAGCCUUUGGGCUCGGUCAGAGUUCUUGAGACUGCCUUUGUUACAGCUUAUACAUAAGUGAUAGAGAAAUUAAGCACAAAAUGUACAUUUGUUUUCACCUAACUGAUUUUAAUAGCAUAAAAGGAUCAGUAACAGGUUGAAAAAAAAUCUGAGCCAUAAUAAUUUAUCCAACAAAAUCUUCAGAAAAUGCAUCUCCAUCUCCCCUCUCCAGCUUUCCAUGGAGUACAAGCAAACAUUGUCUCAAGCACUGAUCUCAAUUUAGGUUACAUGUCAGUAUCACCUGUGUCCAAACUGAAACUGCUAAAUAUCCUGAGGAAAAAAUAUAUAUAUUUUUGAGACUUUGGAUUCAAAUAAAAGGAAGAAGUACAAGAUGGAUAAUUUGUUGUAAAAGCUAUUUCAGAUUUAGUUUAGCUGAAUUUGAAUAAUCAGAGUUCUCUGACUUUCUAAGUGCUUUUCUAAGCUAACCAUAUGGUUUAUUCGUAUAAAAUAUACAGUAAUAAUCUCACAAUUUUUCAUCUGCUUGAAAAGUUAUAGCAUACUGAAAGAGGGAAUAGCACAGUAUGAUGGAUUUAGCUUAUGGGCUGUUUCUGUGAACAAAUGUUAAGGAUGUAAAACUGAAAAUGGCAACAAGGAGAAUCUUUGAAUUUCACAGGAUAGUCGUGCCUGCAAGUCUGGUUAAAGAUGAUUAAAACUAAUAGCUCUUGGAUCAUGCUUACAGUUUGCAAGAACAUUUAACGAUUCCAGAAGCAGGUAUUGCAGGUUCUAAAUCACCUUUCCCAGAAGAAAAAAACUGUCAUUGUAGCUAUAGAUUUGGUGUUUGAUUUUACAGUAAAUAUGCAGAAUCCUUUUUAAUACUAAUACUUUAUUCUUAAUAACAAGGAAAUUCCAAGUCUAAAUAGAUGUGGUCUUUACAUGGGUAAGAAACCAACAUUCUGGAUGCUCAUUUAGAAAAGCAUUACAGUUUAGCACACCAAAAUGCAUGAAAAUGUUUGGAGAUCAAAUCAGUAAUAAUCAAUGCUAGAUAGAUCUGGUAUACAUUUGAUGGAUUUUAAAGAGGCAUGCUAUUUUUAAUUUAUGCUUUUUAAAUUAUUUUUAUGGAAGAUAUAAAAAAUAAAAAUGAUCUGGGCAGGCUUUAAAAAUUACCAAAAAAUUUGUGUUUCAACGAUAGGAAAAAGGUCAUAUACUACACAAUCCAGCAUUACAAUCUGCCGACAAAAAAUACAAAGGUGAAGGGUGACAGUAAAAGUAACUUUUAAGAGGGACAAAUAACAACUUCAAAGGAGGAUAUGAAUUGAAAAUGAAAUUUGUCAUCAAGAACAAAGGAUCAGGCAUACUGAGGUGAGAAAUAAGGCAUUAUACAUGUAAUGGGUUUUUGGUUAUAACUAUGACUCAUUAAAAAGCUAUUUGUUUUCCCGAAUUCACUGUUUAUACAGAAAUAAUUAAAGCUAAACAGGACUUUACUAAUAAAAACAGUUGUAACUAUCUUACAUUUUCUGUUUAACUCUAUUUUUCCUUCUGUUUAUGCUGAUUUGCACAAGGGAUGGAACAGUUGGAGCUCUGUAAAUCCUUCUUUUGUACUCUGUUUAACUUUGAUGAGCAAAAUGGAAAUGCUAAUCCCUUCUGCAGACACAUGAUUUCCUUCCUUUCCCCUCUCUCUGAGACAUUUGUUUUUAUGUGCUCCAGCCUUUGUUCCAAAGUCCCAAGGAGAUUCAUUUGAUGGACUCCUUUUCCCAGGGUCCUGGACUGAGCAAGGACUGUACAAUCCAGCAAUUCAUGAAGUUAAAGAGAGACAGGUCAGGGAUGCAUCAAAAUAGCUUCCUACCUCUCCAAUCUAUGCCUUUAGAACAAACAAAAAGGAGAGUCGGGGGCAUUCAGAAUCUCAGAAGUGAAUGUUCUGAGAAGCACUGAGAAGUGCUGGCCUGAAAUUUAGCUCUCCCUUUGGUAGCAGCUAACUUCAAUGAUUACAGGAUUUUGCAUUCUGCUUUCUCUUUGUUCUACAUAACAGUGAGCGUAUAUGUUAAAUCUGGAAAACAAAUAAUAGAAAAUCAUUAAGUAAUGAUGUCAUAUACCAAGAGCAAGUUGAGACAAACAUUUAUUUGGAUGAGAAGUGGAUUGUUUAGGACAGUAUGCACCUUAGUAAAGCUCUUCAUGAACACUCAGUGGGAACAGUUUGGAGUGCCAAAUACUACUUUCAUUUCAAAAAUUUAAUGCUGUUCAAUUGGAUCAGGUUGAGGUAUGUAUAAGGGCUGCUCCAAAAGUAAUGCAUCUUACUUCAUUACAUUGGCCCAAGACAUCAGAGGCAGAUGUUGGUGGCAUGGGAGCAGAGGUUAAAUCUUCCCACCAAUAUUCCGUUACAUUUUGUUGCUGUGUGACACAUAGCAGCAAAGGGGCAGUGUGAUAGAAUGGCAUCUGACAUGGAAGUGAAUUUGAAGCACAGGUGUGUCUUCCAAUUGCAGAAAAAACUGGACUCACUGACAUUCAUUAAUGCUUGUUGAACAUUUAUAGAGAGCAAGCAGUGGAUUUGAGCAGGUUGAGGUGGUGGGUGGAGUGUUUCAGCAAUGACACUGUCAUAGCAGCUGUGGUUCAUUUCUGUUGGUGCAGAGUUUUAUGAGUGCUGCAUGCAGGCCCUUGUUCAUCACUGCAGAAAACGCAUAGCUAAUGGUGGUGACUCUUUUUGGCCCAUUUCUUGUGAUCAGUGUACCUGCAGAGUCCCUUGUUAUUUUUCACAUCCCUCACCAAGUGCACUUCCAUCUGCACUCUGGCUUCCCUGAUGCCAUAUUUGCAUGCCCAGAUAGCAUCCCUGUAUUUCUCCCACAUGACACAUACCUACUUACCCUGCCUGUACAUGUUCUUCUUAUCCCUCAGUUUGACCUGCAGGUCCUUGCCCGGCCAUGCUGGUUUCCUGCCUCCCCCACUUGUUCUCCUGUACUGGAGGACAGAGAGCACUUGUACUCUCAGAAGGGCAUUCUCUUCUCUGUAAUGAAAUUAAUGUCCCUUCCCCAUACUAAUAUUAAUGCUAACCAGUUAAUGCAAAAGUUAACAUGCUAAUGUUACUUCAGUUUUGGUUAUGUGACACAGAAUAUCCUGUCAAAUGAAUACGUAUGGAUCUGUUAGGUAUGAGCAAAAUGAGAAUGUCCCUCCUUCACAUCACCGAGCGUACUUACCACAUAAUGCAAGUGACCUAAAUUUCCUCGUGUGGCUGAUGCACUUCUGAUCAUGGAAUCUGGAAAAGAGUUGUCAGACAUCUAGUAUGUCUUUUUAAGGGUCUGUAUGGCUUGAGCAGCUUAAGUUACUGUCACCAGUAUUACAAUACUCCUCUCCUUUAUUUAGACUGGUCCCAGGCCCAAGAGAAGGUGACCUUUCAUUUUAUUACUGUUGUUUUUUAUGAAAAUAGAUAAAUAUCUUCACUGACUGCUCUUACUCUAUCAUUUCAAACUGGGAGCAUCUUUUAGCCACGUGCUAAGUAGAAACAGAACAAAUGAUUCAUUUGGGGACUCUUGUGUCACUCCUUCCAAAGCUGGACAUUAUCCUCCUUGAUUAAAAGUAGCAAGCAAACUUGACAGAUGUGAAGUAGCAGAGUAAAAAUCUGUACUUCUGGUCAGGUUGGCAGACUAGAAAUGCGAUGACAGGGAAUCUUAAUGAUGUAUACAAGCUCUCUUUCUGAGGGUCAGACAGGGUUUUUCAUUUCAUGGAGAAAAUACUAUUCUUCCUACACAUUCUUUAUUAUCAGAAGUUUCUGAGGAUGAAUCUGUGAGGCCCAAAAGAAAAAAAAAAAGCAAAGAAAAUAAUUGUAUUUAUUAAGUGAAUGCUGACAGUCUGAAUCAAAGACUCUGCAUUAUAAUCAAAGUUUUGGAAAAACAAGACUAGGACAACCCUGAGGCUUUGGCAUUGAGUUCAAGAACACAGCUAGCAGUCAUUGUACCUCCAGGAGCUGGGAGAACUGAAAUGGAAACAAAGUCUUCUCAAGAAUACAAGGGAAUAAAUUAAUUCAUUUUGCGAUGCCAGCAAUUAUACAGUAGGAAUGCAUUUUUAGUUAAAAAGUGUUAGACAAUGACCACAGUUGGAUAUGCUUCCAGCUCUAGUCCCGCUAGAAAAACCACUAGAUGCAAUGGAACUCUCCAUUAACUUUAGCAAGCUUUUAAUCAAGCCCAAUUCACAAAGUCAGACAGCAAGUUUUAGAGAUAACUAGGGAUGUUUACAAGACAGUAACUUAAACUCCACAGUCCUCUCCAGAGGACCUGGAGAAAAAAAGAAGUCUCUGAAGGGACUAAUUACAGGACAUGAAAAGAUCAUUUGCAAAUGUCCUUUAGCUAGACCCAGGAGUUUCAUUAUCUUCUGUGAUAACAGGAUUCAGAAAACACUAGACAGUAAUCCAAAUCAUAAACUUUCUGUGAGCUUUUUUUGAAUGCUUGUCUUUGUGAUCAGAAAUAUCACCAGUGCUUACACAAACUUUCUUUUCCUUUGCUUUUGUGGGGAUAAUAUUCUCCAACUGCUUAACUGUUGGGUCUCUUGGGUUUCUAUCUAGUCUAGGGCUGCUGGCAUCCAAGGUCAAAGAAAAUGUGAAACAUUAAUUCUACCAUCAAAUAGAGUGUGUCCCCCACAGAUAUGCCGCUCAGUCUCCAACUUCUGCUUACUUAAGUCAUAAAAUGCACCCCAAAAAUAAUUUUCUUUCUUUGACCCUUUUAUUUUAAUUUGAAAAAAUUAUGUGCCACAUAAGACAUCAUGUUCUGAAUUUUGUGAUAUACUUUGUAUAAAAUGUAGGCUUUUCCAAAUAAGUUUCCAUACCUCUAACAAAAAAAUAAUACCAGCAUCAAUAACUGUAAUACAACAUCUGCCUUCAGUUCAUUUUAUUUGCUUACUGGCCUCCUUGUUUCUGCAAAAACAAAGCUAGCAAAGUAUAUUGUAUUCUAGCAGGAAUGGGAAAAUAGUAAGCCACGAAAAUCAAGAUUAUGGUAAGACCCAGAAACUAAAGUGGAUUGAAUGGUUUUGGUCUUAAUAAAAUAAAACCUAUAGACCAAAACUGCCAAAAGCUUUAGACCCUAGGCCACAGUAAGUGAGAAUCAACUUAUCUGUGUAAAGAACUGAGAAAAUAAACAUGAGUAUAGACCUGAAGAAGUUGUUUUAGAUAAGAAUUUUCCUUCGACGAAGGAUACAAGAUUGAAGUCUUUUCUACAAGCGCUUAUCUAGAGAGAACACUUUUUAUAAAUGAGAAAGACUUAUUUAGAAUGAGCAUUUGGAAAUUGCAUCUUUUAAAAGACCGAGCACAGAAUAAAAUAAAAUACUUAAGAGUCAAAUAAUGUUAAUUACUUCAUUAUGUGGAACAACAUAAAAAUUACCAGUAGGAUACAUUUUACUGCAGAAGGUAUAGCUAUUUGUUAUGUGGCCUUUAAGGAGUAUACUCAGGCUGUGAAAGCAAGUAGGUCAUUAACUUCAGGAGUAAACCACAGUACUUUGAGUUUAAAACUAUUGACCAGAAGAAAAAUUGCAACAGGACUCAGUAGUGUGGUGCUCCCACAGCACUUACUGUGGGAAGGAAUUUUCAAGAAGGAAAUUAAAAUUAUCGGAUGUAAUGAUUCAAGGUCUAUCUUUUGAUAAGAAUUAUAUUAAGCUGAACCUUCCCAUCACCUAGGAGUAGUUAUAGUAGUGUAAGGCACUUGGCAGCCUGUUCCAGUGCCUGAACCUCCUCUGGUGCAACUUCAGGCCAUUACAUCUCAUCUAUCACUAGUUAACUGGGAGAAAAGGCUGACCCCCAUAUGCUACAAUCUCCUUUCAGUUUGUUGCAGACAGCAGUAAGAUUUCCCUGAGCCUCCUUUUCUACAGACUAAAUAAUCCCAGUUCCCCCAGUCACUCCCUACAAGACUUGUGCUCCAGGUCCUUAAAAGCUGUGCAGCCCUUCUCUGGGCAUGUUCCAAAGUCUCAGUGUCUUUCCUGUAGUCAGGGGCUGAAAACUGAACACAGAGCUCGAGGUGAGGCCUUACCAGUGCCAACUGCAGAGGGAUGAUCACCUCCCUUGUCCUGCUGGCUACAAUAUUCCUGAUACAAGCCAGGAUGCCAUUGGCCUUCUUGGCCAACUAGGCACACUUCUGGCUCAUGUUCAGCCAGCUGUUGACCUGCACCCACAGAUCCUUUUGCUCUGUGCCACUCUGCCCCAAAUCUGUAGCAAUGCAUAGGAUUGUUGUGGCCAAAGUGGAGAACUUGAUGCUUGAUCUUGUUAAACUUCAUCCCAUUGGCUUCAGUCCAGAGAUCAGCCAAUCCAAAUCCUUCUGUAGGGCCUUCCCACCCUUUGGCAGAUCAACGCUACCUCCCAGUGUGGUGUCAUCUGCGAACUUACUGAGAGUGCCCUCAAUCUCCUUGUCCAGAUUACCAAUAAAGAUAGUAAAAGGACAGGCCCCAGUGCUGGCCACUGAGGAAAACCACUCACGAUUGGUCACCAGCUGGUUUUAACUCCAUUCACCAUUGCUCUCUGGGCCUGUCAUCCAGCCAAGUAUUUUAACGCAGUGAAGAGUACCAAUCAUGUCCAAGUCAUGAGCUGCUACUUCUCAAGGAAAGUACUGUGGGAGACAGAGUCAAAGGCUUUACUGAAGGUAACCUAGGUAGGUUGCAGAAGAAAAACAUGGGAAAGAGUAGGUCCUUUAAGUACUGUCUCAGAAGUACUUAGAGAGAGAAAAAAAAAUCCUCUAAAUACAUAUUACCCACAGCAGAUUGAAAUAAAUUAAAUAUUAUCACAUGCAAAAAAUAUGUCAUAGGAAAAUUAUUCCAUCUGCUAUC
rnacentral:lncRNA from 1 species